rnacentral:rRNA from 1 species
UACAGAGGAGCCAAGCGUUGUCCGGAUUGACUGGGCGUAAAGCGCACGCAGGCGGUCGCGCGCGUGGGGUGUGAAAUCUGGCCGCUUAACGGCCAGGCGCCAUCCCAUACGGCGCGACUGGAGUGAUGCAGAGGUCGGUGGAAUUGCCGGUGUAGUGGUGAAAUGCGUAGAGAUCGGCAGGAACACCCAGGGGGGAAACCCAGCCGACUGGGCAUCUACUGACGCUGAGGUGCGAGAGCGUGGGGGAGCGAACCGG